UAACUGGCGAUGCUAACUGUAUUCCGAGCUAAAGCUAACUGUAAUAAUUAAUGGCUGGUGUUUCUUAACAGUGUGCUAGUUAGAUUAGUAGGUUAUGGGGUUUGAUAUGAUAUGUUGAUUAUGCCUGGAGUUAACUCCAGUCUUUAGUUCUUGACCUCAGAACACCCGAAUGCAGCUAGCGGCUCAAUGCUAGCUAACAGCUGAACUGAGCACUGAGGAUUGGAGGCUGUUAGCUUGGACGCUAACUGUUUUCCGAGACAGCAACAUGUGUACUUCUGAGGACAUUUCAGUUGGCAUCCAGAACUGGAACUUGCUGAAAGUCUCAUCUUGAGCAAAAUUCUGCCAGACUGUUGGCUCAUCCAGGGUGUAUCCUGCCUUCCGCUGAUGGCUGCUGGGAUUGGCUCUGGCUCGCCGUGACCCGAAAUGCAUUAAGCAAUUGACAAUGAUUUCUUCACUUGAGAACUUUGAGAUGAGCUCUUUUGCCAGCCUGGACGAGCUCAUCCAGCACUGAUUGAUUGGAGCUUCUGCUGUUCCCAUGGUGAAAUCCUCACAUCUCACAUGUGCACAGUCAAACAAAGAGGAGAACAUGAGCAAUAAACGCAGUCCUUGCACAAUCUCAAGUGGACGGGGCUUUCAAAAGCUUCCACAACACCACCUCUCGCCUCACACAAGACAAGUUUCUGCGUACCAUCGCCGAAGUGAAACUAAAUUGAUUAGCAAAGUAAGCAAUAAACAGUUUAUGAAUAUCAUGACUAUUCGAGAGAGAAAAUAAAUCUAUAAACAAAAACAGACAGACAAGUCGGGCAGCACAUCUGACACUCCACAACAUCUCCUCUGGUUUGAAUUAGACUUUCAUUCCUCAGGGCCCACGGGGUACAAUAAACACAGCUUACAUUAUGCCAGAAAUAGUCCAGAGAAUGUUAUCUGUCUGUAGGGCUCUUGCUGGAGGUGUCUGAUGGCAGGAGUGAUUAAACGC